CCGCCAUUAACCCCAGAGAAGAAGCCCCGACUCCAUACUGUUUUCAUCGGGCUUACGGUAGUCAUUAGAAUUUCAGAGAAUUUCUCAAACUGCACCCUAAAGUCAAACUUCACCAAAUGGGGAAAUCCAACAUUUUGGAGGGGGAACCAGCUGGCCUUGCACGCCACACCUGAGGCUUGGUUCAUCAGGACCAAGCCAGACCAAGACCAGGCUGUGGUGUGCAAGAAGCCGAAGCAGAGGCGUGGGCCUGUGUCGUCUUUGAGGGUGGUGACCCUGAUGCAGAGAUGCUGGUUCUGAGCAGGAGGAGUGCCAAAGGCCAGAUCCCCGCAGGUCUGCAGGCUGGCCAAGUGGGUCUUCAGGGGCUCACGGAUCGAAGGGUAGACUGUCAAAUACUACCGCAGCCUAAGGAGUGGUCUACCCUUUCCGUCACCAGGACAGGAUCGAGUGCAGGCGGUACAAAGCGAUUACGGGGAAACCGCUGAAAUGCUGGAAAGGACAGCCUUUAAUGUUGCUUUCUCAGACUUAACCCGGGUCCUGCUAUUUGGUUGAGGCCAUUUGCAGCCAGCUCUGCCACCUGCAUCCAUGUGGCCCUAAGAGGUGCAGGUGGGCGCUCAUCUUGUCAGAGAAACAGUGCUGAAAAGCCCAGGGUUGAUGUCCCAGACCAACAUCAUGGUCUAUGAGCUCAGAGGAAGUCAGGACCGUCGCACAAUAGUAAGGUGUGAACUUCCCAACAUCAUGGUCCUGAUGCUCCUGUAAGUCCUUCUGGAUGACAGCCCAUCUGUUGACCCUCACACCAAGAACAGUCUGGCCAGCAGGAUGUUUUUGGCAAAGCUUCAAAAAGACAGCCUCUUCUGUGCUGCUAGUGUUGGGCCACUGGGCAGGUCCUUGUCCAAUUAUAUUAAAUUUAUAAAAGACAACAUCUAUGAGAAACACAAAACACUGUUUAGUGAGAAAGUGAUUUCAGCACAAAGUGCAGUACUUACCGCUUCAUACUCUCUUCUCCCUUGACUGCUGUGCUCUUUGAGUUUUUAAAAUGCCCCGCUCGUUCCUGGAUCCUCUCGAGGUAGGAGACUCUUCUUGCUCGCCUCCGGAAGAUUCUCCCACAGGGCGAUUAUCUCUUGAGCAUGCCGAGUCGAGAUCGACGGCCUCUCCAGGAGUCUCAUCAGACUUUUGGCCAGGAGAACGUUUGAUACCCGACAACCACUCCUGGUCCAAGGUCCUGACAGACAGUAGGGGGCAAUGGAGCGGCCUUCUUGAGGUGUUGCAUUCUAGGUAAUCCAUCCCCAUUUAAUACCAUCCAUCGAUGUCAAGCACCUUCCGGGCAAUCCUGUACACCCUGCAACGUGUUAGCCUGUAGCACUUGCACCGUG